GAUGAACGCUAGCUACAGGCUUAACACAUGCAAGUCGAGGGGAAACGGCAUUGAGUGCUUGCACUCUUUGGACGUCGACCGGCGCACGGGUGAGUAACGCGUAUCCAACCUUCCCAUUACUGUGGGAUAACCUGCCGAAAGGCAGACUAAUACCGCAUAGUCUUCGAUGACGGCAUCAGAUUUGAAGUAAAGAUUUAUCGGUAAUGGAUGGGGAUGCGUUUGAUUAGCUUGUUGGCGGGGUAACGGCCCACCAAGGCUACGAUCAGUAGGGGUUCUGAGAGGAAGGUCCCCCACAUUGGAACUGAGACACGGUCCAAACUCCUACGGGAGGCAGCAGUGAGGAAUAUUGGUCAAUGGACGGAAGUCUGAACCAGCCAAGUAGCGUGCAGGAUGACGGCCCUAUGGGUUGUAAACUGCUUUUGUAUGGGGAUAAAGUUAGGGACGUGUCCCUAUUUGCAGGUACCAUACGAAUAAGGACCGGCUAAUUCCGUG
rnacentral:rRNA from 1 species